CCGCAGCCUAGGCAGCCCUGCGGGAGUUCCCGCAGGGCUGUCUAGGCUCCGCAGCCUGCUUCCCGGAGCGCCGGGCGCGCUGAAAGCAGAGCGCCCGGGGCUUUGGGAACGCAUCCGCAGCCUAGGCAACCCUGCAGGAGGUCCCGCAGGGCUGUCUAGGCUGCGG